rnacentral:rRNA from 1 species
CCUACGGGUGGCUGCAGUGAGGAAUAUUGGUCAAUGAACGGGAGUCUGAACCAGCCAAGUAGCGUGAAGGAUGACUGCCCUAUGGGUUUUAAACUUCUUUUAUAUGGGAAUAAAAUGUUCCACGUGUGGGAUUUUGUAUGUACCAUAUGAAUAAGCAUCGGCUAAAUCCGUGCCAGCAGCCGCGGUAAUACGGAGGAUCCGCGCGUUAUCCGGAUUUAUUGGGUUUAAAGGGAGCGUAGGUGGAUUGUUAAGUCAGUUGUGAAAGUUUGCGGCUCAACCGUAAAGUUGCAGUUGAAACUGGGAGUCUUGAGUAUAGGAGAGGUAGGCGGAAUUCGUGGUGUAGCGGUGAAAUGCUUAGAUAUCACGAAGAACUCCGAUUGCGAAGGCAGUUUACUGGACCGAAACUGACGCUGAGGCUCGAAAGUGUGGGUAUCAAACAGGAUUAGAUACCCUUGUAGUC